rnacentral:miRNA from 3 species
UGCCAUUUUUAUCAGUCACUGUG